rnacentral:rRNA from 1 species
GUCGUAACAAGGUCUCCGUAGGUGAACCUGCGGAGGGAUCAUUACACAAAUAUGAAGGCGGGCUGGAACCUCUCGGGGUUACAGCCUUGCUGAAUUAUUCACCCUUGUCUUUUGCGUACUUCUUGUUUCCUUGGUGGGUUCGCCCACCACUAGGACAAACAUAAACCUUUUGUAAUUGCAAUCAGCGUCAGUAACAAAUUAAUAAUUACAACUUUCAACAACGGAUCUCUUGGUUCUGGCAUCGAUGAAGAACGCAGCGAAAUGCGAUAAGUAGUGUGAAUUGCAGAAUUCAGUGAAUCAUCGAAUCUUUGAACGCACAUUGCGCCCUUUGGUAUUCCAAAGGGCAUGCCUGUUCGAGCGUCAUUUGUACCCUCAAGCUUUGCUUGGUGUUGGGCGUCUUGUCUCUAGCUUUGCUGGAGACUCGCCUUAAAGUAAUUGGCAGCCGGCCUACUGGUUUCGGAGCGCAGCACAAGUCGCACUCUCUAUCAGCAAAGGUCUAGCAUCCAUUAAGCCUUUUUUUCANCUUUUGACCUUGGAUCAGGUAGGGAUACCCGCUGAACUUAAGCAUAUCA